rnacentral:rRNA from 1 species
UACAGAGGUGGCAAGCGUUGUUCGGAAUUACUGGGCGUAAAGGGCGCGUAGGCGGCCCGUCAAGUCCCGUGUGAAAGCCCCCGGCUCAACCGGGGAACGGCGCGGGAAACUAGCAGGCUUGAGUUCGGGAGAGGGAAGCGGAAUUCCGGGUGUAGCGGUGAAAUGCGCAGAUAUCCGGAGGAACACCGGUGGCGAAGGCGGCGACCUGGGCCAAUACUGACGCUGAGGUGCGAAAGCGUGGGGAGCAAACAGG